CCUACGGGUCGCAGCAGUGGGGAAUAUUGCACAAUGGGGGGAACCCUGAUGCAGCGACGCCGCGUGAGUGAAGAAGUAUUUCGGCAUGUAAAGCUCUAUCAGCAGGGAAGAUCAUGACGGUACCUGACUAAGAAGCCCCGGCUAACUACGUGCCAGCAGCCGCGGUAAUACGUAGGGGGCAAGCGUUAUCCGGAUUUACUGGGUGUAAAGGGUGCGUAGGUAACAGGGCAAGUCAGAUGUGAAAGCCCGGGGCCCAACCCCGGUACUGCAUUUGAAACUGUCCGGCUGGAGUGCAGGAGAGGUAAGCGGAAUUCCUAGUGUAGCGGUGAAAUGCGUAGAUAUUAGGAGGAACACCAGUGGCGAAGGCGGCUUACUGGACUGUAACUGACACUGAGGCACGAAAGCGUGGGGAGCAAACAGGAUUAGAUACCCUUGUAGUC
rnacentral:rRNA from 1 species